rnacentral:lncRNA from 1 species
AGGUUUAUUGCCUGGCUAUAGACAGCCCGAGAAAGAAAGUUAGCUUCCCACCCCCGGCAGCUGCAGUGAUUGGAAAACGAGCCUGAGCCUUUUCACCGAAAAGAAUAUAUCAUUAUCCGUUGGGUUCGCCCUACUUCCCUGUUAAGAAUCACCUGAAGUGCCUAAAAAUCCGCGAGUUUCAGGGCUUUUCCCUGGAAAUAAUGAUUUAGAACGUCCUGGGGGAGGGCCUAGGAGUCUGUGGGUUUAAUAAGCACCUCCAGGAUUUGUGUCUUCGGACAUGAUUCGUGCUUGUGGACAAAACUGACCUCGGAGCUGAGGUGAGUGACAAACCAAAGUUGCCAGGCCUGAGUAGGGUCCUCGUGCCCAGAGGAGAAAGAGAAAAAACAAAGGAACUCUUUUCACUAAAUUCACCAGCUAUCUUCUGAUCCAGUUAAUUAACUGGGAAAACUAAAUUAAACCCUAACGCCUUAUUCAUCUUUGAGGGGACCUGUGAUGUCUCUGAGCACUAAUGGCAGGGAGGUGGGCAGUGCUGGGCUGGAACAUCUCCCAUGGACAGCCAAGCAGCAUUCUGUUAAUCGUGGCUAUUAAACUGCUUUCUUGGGAGUUGUUUUUGAUCCAUGUGGAAUAGAUUAAGAGUCUGUUUUGAAUCCCCUAGAGUUUCCUGUGGAGCAUAAUUAGAGAUGCAUUGGAAUAGGAAUUCAGGUCAACACUUUAAUGAGAUGUCUGAAGAGUAUGGCCCAGCAAGGGGGAGGGUAGAGGGAGUGGAGUGGUGGAGAUGAGGAAGGGACAUUGUCAGGAUGAGGGGGCAAAAGAAUGAAGAUUUUUGUGAGGAGGUGAAUGAAAGACAAGGAACCACAGAGGAGAGAGAAAUGGAGAGUGAGAGAAGCAAGGAAAUGAGAAGUGAGUAGCAUUCACUGUGUCCUACCACAUGCCAGGCACGUUUUCAAAGAUGAUGAGAAAAACAGUUGAGAAAAUGAUACUGGAAGCCCAUGGAGAGGUUCACAGCCUUGGAUUCUGAUGCUUGUCUUGAAUCUAUCUGGAGACAGUAGAGAGAUAGGGAGAAUGGGCUUUGUCAUCAAACAGACCUUGGUUUGAUUCUUAAUCCCGUCCUUUUUGAGCUCUGUGACUGUUGGCAAGUCACUGACCCUCUCUGAAACUGUUUCCUCACCUGUCAAACGAAGGUUAACUAUAUAAUGUUUAUAACACUCCCAGAAUGGACUAUUGUCUAGCAUAUAUUAGAUGUUCAAUAAAUUAUUGUUACAAUGAGGAAUCUGAGGAUGAGAGAGGUCAGCUUGGCCUAGGAGCUCAUAACUAGUCAGUAACAGAAUUGAAAGGUAAGCCCAGGUUUGUCUGAUCUCCACUGCCACCAAGCAAAAUGUACAUACAUGACUGACCUUCUGUGGGGGAAAACAAGGUCUGUUCUCCACAGGGUGACCCUUAGCCCAUGAUGACAGUCCUUAUAAGUGGUACUGGCACUGAAUGGAGAGCUAAACCAGCUUCAACCAAUUUCAAUCAGCUAUGGCAGGAUUUUAAAAUUUAGAUUUGGUGACAUUACUUCCACAGACUGGUUUUCACAGGGCAUGCCCUUGCUUGUAUCUCCCCAUAGGUAUGUAAAGUUGCAUCCCUUGCUGAGUUCAUUCCAGGGCUGAGUUCCCAUGAUAUACCUUGCACUAUUUCAGUGCCCUAAGGAUGAUAUAGUCCCAUUGGAGAACUGUGGCAGUCUCUAAUGGUGGUAUGCUGCUCUUCAAGUUCUAGAACCUGCUGCAAGAGUCUGCCUUUGGGAUCCAUGGGAGGGCUCACACCAAGGUCACAGUCUUCCCCAGGCUGCUCCCAGUCCACAGCACAUGGCAGGAGUACUGGAGCUGGGCCACUUCUGCUCAAGUCAAGCAUUGAAAAAUCCUGGAACUUUCAAUAUUUAUGUAGCCAAAGUGUCUCUCUUGCUCACUCACUUGCUUGCUUGUGUACCACUAAUUGAGCAACUACUAUGGGCCAGAUGCUCUGGAAAAUGUUGUUCUGAAGAGGAGUACUAAUCUUCACCAGUGGUGCACCUAGCUGUAUUUUGCACAUUAGGAAACAGACCCAGAGGCACACCUCCCAGAUGCAUCUUCCUCAUGGGGUUGUCGCAGGGUUUAAGAAAAUGAACUCAUAUAAAGGGCUCAGAAUAGUGUCUGGAUCACAGAACUCUGAAGAAUUUAUGUCAGUGAUUCUGAAGUGAGAAUGGAACAUGGAUCCAACCCCUCUAAGGCAGAAGAGAUGUGAGCAGAUUACCUUCUCUGUCCUUAAAAGGAGUGGCCCUGCAUUCCCUGAGAGGGCAUAGCUGGGGCAGUCAUCUGGACCCACCAGACAGGAGCUGAAGCUUGAUAAAAGGUGCCUGGUUCCAGUGACUAUGGAGCAGCCUGCCAGCACUAGAGGAGUCACAGAGAUGUCUAGAUGAGUCACAGAGACAUUUACAUGACAGAAAAAUAAACAACUAUGUUGUUUAAGCCAUUAUUAGUCAGUCUUUCAGUUCAAGCAGCUACACGUGUAUUUUAAUUAAUACCAAGACAGCUCUGUAAGUUUGAUCCAU